UGCAAGUCGAACGGAUGUUUUCGGACAUUAGUGGCGGACGGGUGAGUAACGCGUGAGAAUCUAGCUUCAGGUUGGGGACAACAGUUGGAAACGACUGCUAAUACCGAAUGUGCCGAAAGGUGAAAGAUUUAUUGCCUGAAGAAGAGCUCGCGUCUGAUUAGCUAGUUGGUGGGGUAAGAGCCUACCAAGGCGACGAUCGGUAGCUGGUCUGAGAGGACGAUCAGCCACACUGGGACUGAGACACGGCCCAGACUCCUACGGGAGGCAGCAGUGGGGAAUUUUCCGCAAUGGGCGAAAGCCUGACGGAGCAAUACCGCGUGAGGGAAGAAGGCUCUUGGGUUGUAAACCUCUUUUCUGAGGGAAGAAAAAAAUGACGGUACCUCAGGAAUCAGCAUCGGCUAACUCCGUGCCAGCAGCCGCGGUAAUACGGAGGAUGCAAGCGUUAUCCGGAAUGAUUGGGCGUAAAGCGUCCGCAGGUGGCAUUUCAAGUCUGCGGUUAAAGGUUCUGGCUCAACCAGAGACAGGCCGUGGAAACUGAAAAGCUAGAGUAUGGUAGGGGCAGAGGGAAUUCCCAGUGUAGCGGUGAAAUGCGUAGAGAUUGGGAAGAACACCGGUGGCGAAAGCGCUCUGCUAGGCCAAAACUGACACUGAGGGACGAAAGCUAGGGGAGCGAAUGGGAUUAGAUACCCCAGUAGUCCUAGCCGUAAACGAUGGAUACUAGGUGUAGCUUGUAUCGACCCAAGCUGUGCCGUAGCUAACGCGUUAAGUAUCCGCCUGGGGAGUACCGCCGCAACGUGAAAACUCAAAGGAAUUGACGGGGGCCCGCCAAGCGGUGGAGUUGGGGUUAAUUCGAUGCAACGGAGAACCUACCAUGGACUUG
rnacentral:rRNA from 1 species